UACGUAGGGUGCGAGCGUUGCCCGGAAUUAUUGGGCGUAAAGCGCGCGCAGGCGGUCCCUUAAGUCUGAUGUGAAAGCCCACGGCUCAACCGUGGAGGGUCAUUGGAAACUGGGGGACUUGAGUACAGAAGAGGAAAGCGGAAUUCCACGUGUAGCGGUGAAAUGCGUAGAGAUGUGGAGGAACACCAGUGGCGAAGGCGGCUUUCUGGUCUGUAACUGACGCUGAGGCGCGAAAGCGUGGGGAGCAAACAGG
rnacentral:rRNA from 1 species